GCCUACGGCCAUACCACCCUGAACACACCCGAUCUCGGAAGCUAAGCAGGGUCGGGCCUGGUUAGUACUUGGUUGGGGGACCGCCUGGGAAUACCAGGUGUUGUAUGCU